AUAUGCCAUACCUCUGCUCUUCCUCCAAACCUCCCAACUUUUCAUUUUGUCUUUUAUCUUCCAGUUGAUAGCUUUACCUUGUCCCUUGAAUUUCCUUUGUGAACCAGUUGUUCUGUCGACAUCCUGCCUUGUCCCCCGUCUCCUCUACAAAGAACUUCACUGAAUACACCACAGAUCCUGGAUCACAGCAGGAACUACAGGAAGUUCUUCACAUCAAGAUCUCUAUCCCACACGUUCAGUCUCAACUCCGCCCUUCCAGGUAAGGAAGCUAAGGUUUUUCAGUAGCCAAGUAACUGAGAGAAGGUGGCAGAUGAUUUAGGGUAGAUCCCCUACCCCCUAACACAGUUUUCCUUUCCUUUCCGCGGUGUUGCCUUCCUGGCUAACAUCUCCCUAAAACCUCACCUUCUAUUCCAACAGAGAAAAGCGUGCAGGGAAUCAAAUUACCCACAGCAGCUUUGGUACAAGGUUAAGUGAGGGAAGAGGCUGCA
rnacentral:lncRNA from 12 species